UCACCGUGUUGUGUGAAACGAGCCA
rnacentral:piRNA from 1 species